AGUACAGAAUGUUUAUCUGCUAUACAGAGACACAAACAUGUUUUUCUGUUCAAGGUUCAUCUGCACAUCUUCAAAGACCCUGAAACAAAGCCUGUUUGAACUGCCUCAAACCGCUUCUUAUCGGUACACAGAAGUGUGUCAUGCUCUGCGUUUCAUAUAUAUAGUAGUUGUAACCCAGGGGUAAAACUUGGAUAUAAAUAGAUUAAAUAAAUAAAUAAGUCCUGAGUGAAUAUUAUUAUCAUCCAAUACGAGGUUAGGGUGCUGUUAGGACAUCAGCCUGUAGGAGUGAGAGUUGCUACAUUCCAGCCAAUGGGAUGGCUGAGCCCGCCUCUCAGCUAGCGAGGGAGAUAGGAAGAGAUGCCAGUAGUAACUGAGUCAUCGUGGCGGUACGUUGAUGCUGCUGUUACGGGUGUAAAUUACCAACAGUGUAGAGUGUCACGAAAGAGUCGAAGUUGGAAGGCAUGCUAGAGUAAUGUGCCGUUCUCUUGCACUGGUAGGUCAGGUUUUAAUGUUGAGUUCAGAUGUUGAUUGACCGCGAAUACGGUGGAGCCCGACCCGUCGGCGAAGAUUCUGGAUAACCUCGGAGAAACUGUUCCAGUAAUGGAUGGCAAGCCAACCCCACUUGACCUAGAACCUGAUUGCAGCUAGGAGAUUGCAAUUUCAGCACGCUGCGUCCGAGAGCUUUGAUUUAGUUUCCCUUGGCCCAAGGGAUCCAAGGGAAACUAAAUCAAAGCUCUCGGACACAGCGACAACAAAGGACCUUUUUACCUUCAGAGGACGAGUCUGCGAGUGUUGUCUAAUUUCCACGACAAUUUGGCGUCUCCUGGAUGGGCUGUGCGAGUCUUUUCAGCUUUUCUGGACAACAAGCAAAACGGAGGACGCCCGUGGAAAAGUUUCACCCUAAAGCCUGUGUUGACACAGGCGUGUCCUUUGUUGUGCAGAGCAAUAGACCGAUGCAGCCUUACCACUGACUGGUAGGAAUCAUCAAGAAUUUAGAAUUAGAAUUUUAGAUUUUAAGUCAUUGUGUAUUGCUGUCUGUAUGGAAGGGAGUCAAUGAUAUAAGAAAUGUGUGUAUUACAUUGAGAGAAGUAUUACAUGGAGGCGAUUUCUUCUAAGAAGUUCCAGGAACUUUCCUCUGAACUUCGCCUUCGCUCUCUCAUUAUUCUAUCCUGCUUUAUUCUAUCCUGUAUUAACCAUCUUCCUGUAAUAAACCUUUUUAUCUUCA